UACGUAGGGGCGAGCGUUGUCCGGAAUCAUUGGGCGUAAAGCGCGUGUAGGCGGUCCGGUAAGUCCGCUGUGAAAGUCGGGGGCUCAACCCUCGGAUGCCGGUGGAUACUGUCGGGCUUGAGUACGGAAGAGGCGAGUGGAAUUCCUGGUGUAGCGGUGAAAUGCGCAGAUAUCAGGAGGAACACCAAUUGCGAAGGCAGCUCGCUGGGACGGUACUGACGCUGAGGCGCGAAAGCGUGGGUAGCGAACAGG
rnacentral:rRNA from 1 species